rnacentral:rRNA from 1 species
CCUACGGGAGGCAGCAGUGGGGAAUAUUGCACAAUGGGGGGAACCCUGAUGCAGCAACGCCGCGUGGGUGAAGAAGUACUCCGGUAUGUAAAGCCCUGUCAGCAGGGAAGAAAAUGACGGUAACUGACCAAGAAGCCCCGGCUAACUACGUGCCAGGAGCCGCGGUAAUACGUAGGGGGCAAGCGUUAACCGGAUUUACUGGGGGGAAAGGGAGCGUAGGCGGCACGGCAAGUAUGGAGUGAAAGCCCUGGGCUCAACCCCGGGACUGCUUUGGAACCUGUGUUGGUGGAGUGCAGGAGGGGUAAGCGGAAUUCCUAGUGUAGCGGUGAAAUGCGUAGAUAUUAGGAGGAACACCGGUGGCGAAGGCGGCUUACUGGACUGUAACUGACGUUGAGGCUCGAAGGCGUGGGGAGCAAACAGGAUUAGAUACCCUUGUAGUC